rnacentral:rRNA from 1 species
UACGUAGGGAGCAAGCGUUGUCCGGAAUCAUUGGGCGUAAAGCGCGCGUAGGCGGCCCUGUAAGUCCGUUGUGAAAGUCAAAGGCUCAACCUUUGAAAGCCGAUGGAUACUGCAGGGCUAGAGUCCGGAAGAGGCGAGUGGAAUUCCUGGUGUAGCGGUGGAAUGCGUAGAUAUCAAGAGGAACACCUGCGGCGAAGGCGGGUUGCUGGGCCGACACUGACGCUGAGGCGCGAAAGCCAGGGGAGCGAACGGG